AUGGCCUGGACCCCUCCCCUGCUCACCCUCCUCACUCUCUGCACAGGCUCCGUGGUUUCCUCUGAGCUGAGUCAGGAGCCUGCAGUGUCUGUGGCCUUGGGAUAGACAGCCAGGAUCACCUGCCAGGGAGACAGCAUAGAAGACUCCGUUGUAAACUGGUACAAGCAGAAGCCAAGCCAGGCCCCUGGGCUGGUCAUCUAACUUAACAGUGUCCAGUCUUCAGGGAUUCCUAAGAAAUUCUCUGGCUCCAGCUCAGGGAACAUGGCCACCCUGACCAUCACUGGGAUUCAGGUUGAAGACAAGGCUGACUAUUACUGUCAGUCAUGGGACAGCAGUCGUACUCAUUC